GAUGAACGCUGGCGGCGUGCCUAACACAUGCAAGUCGAACGGACAUUUUUUGGAAAGCUCUUCGGAACUGGAAUCUAAAUGUUAGUGGCGGACGGGUGAGUAACGCGUGAGCAAUCUGCCUUUCAGAGGGGGAUAACAGCCGGAAACGGAUGCUAAUACCGCAUAGGUAUGGACACUGCAUGGUGACCAUAUUAAAAGUGCCAAGGCACUGGUAGAGGAUGGACUUAUGGCGCAUUAGCUGGUUGGUGAGGUAACGGCUCACCAAGGCGACGAUGCGUAGCCGACCUGAGAGGGUGACCGGCCACACUGGGACUGAGACACGGCCCAG
rnacentral:rRNA from 1 species